ACAGAGGUCCCAACCGUUGUUCGGAUUCAUUGGGCGUAAAGGGUGCGUAGGCGGCGGAGUAAGUCAGGUGUGAAAUCUCGGGGCUCAACCCCGAAACUGCACUUGAUACUGCUUCGCUAGAGUACUGGAGAGGAGACUGGAAUUUACGGUGUAGCAGUGAAAUGCGUAGAUAUCGUAAGGAAGACCAGUGGCGAAGGCGAGUCUCUGGACAGUUACUGACGCUGAGGCACGAAGGCCAGGGGAGCAAACGGGAUUAGAUACCCCGGUAGUCCUGGCAGUAAACGGUGCACGUUUGGUGUGGGAGGAUUCGACCCCUUCCGUGCCGGAGCUAACGCGUUAAACGUGCCGCCUGGGAAGUACGGUCGCAAGAUUA
rnacentral:rRNA from 1 species